rnacentral:rRNA from 1 species
UGCUUACACAUGCAGUCGAACGGUGAAGGAGAGCUUGCUCUUUGGAUCAGUGGCGAACGGGUGAGUAACACGUGAGCAAUCUGCCCUUGACUCUGGGAUAAGCGCUGGAAACGGCGUCUAAUACUGGAUAUGAGCUGCGACCGCAUGGUCAGUAGUUGGAAAGAAUUUCGGUCAAGGAUGAGCUCGCGGCCUAUCAGCUUGUUGGUGAGGUAAUGGCUCACCAAGGCGUCGACGGGUAGCCGGCCUGAGAGGGUGACCGGCCACACUGGGACUGAGACACGGCCCAGACUCCUACGGGAGGCAGCAGUGGGGAAUAUUGCACAAUGGGCGCAAGCCUGAUGCAGCAACGCCGCGUGAGGGACGACGGCCUUCGGGUUGUAAACCUCUUUUAGCAGGGAAGAAGCGAAAGUGACGGUACCUGCAGAAAAAGCACCGGCUAACUACGUGCCAGCAGCCGCGGUAAUACGUAGGGUGCAAGCGUUAUCCGGAAUUAUUGGGCGUAAAGAGCUCGUAGGCGGUUUGUCGCGUCUGCUGUGAAAUCUGGGGGCUCAACCCCCAGCCUGCAGUGGGUACGGGCAGACUAGAGUGCGGUAGGGGAGAUUGGAAUUCCUGGUGUAGCGGUGGAAUGCGCAGAUAUCAGGAGGAACACCGAUGGCGAAGGCAGAUCUCUGGGCCGUAACUGACGCUGAGGAGCGAAAGGGUGGGGAGCAAACAGGCUUAGAUACCCUGGUAGUCCACCCCGUAAACGUUGGGAACUAGUUGUGGGGUCCAUUCCACGGAUUCCGUGACGCAGCUAACGCAUUAAGUUCCCCGCCUGGGGAGUACGGCCGCAAGGCUAAAACUCAAAGGAAUUGACGGGGACCCGCACAAGCGGCGGAGCAUGCGGAUUAAUUCGAUGCAACGCGAAGAACCUUACCAAGGCUUGACAUAUACGAGAACGGGCUAGAAAUAGUCAACUCUUUGGACACUCGUAAACAGGUGGUGCAUGGUUGUCGUCAGCUCGUGUCGUGAGAUGUUGGGUUAAGUCCCGCAACGAGCGCAACCCUCGUUCUAUGUUGCCAGCACGUAAUGGUGGGAACUCAUGGGAUACUGCCGGGGUCAACUCGGAGGAAGGUGGGGAUGACGUCAAAUCAUCAUGCCCCUUAUGUCUUGGGCUUCACGCAUGCUACAAUGGCCGGUACAAAGGGCUGCAAUACCGUAAGGUGGAGCGAAUCCCAAAAAGCCGGUCCCAGUUCGGAUUGAGGUCUGCAACUCGACCUCAUGAAGUCGGAGUCGCUAGUAAUCGCAGAUCAGCAACGCUGCGGUGAAUACGUUCCCGGGUCUUGUACACACCGCCCGUCAAGUCAUGAAAGUCGGUAACACCUGAAGCCGGUGGCCCAACCCUUGUGGAGGAGCCGUCGAAGGUGG